GGGGUUAUUGCAUGUUUUGGGGUCCCUGUGAUGUGUUUUAUGAAACUGUAUUUCUCUGGCUGUGAUAAUUAGAUUACCCAUUGUGUUUAGUAAUCAUAUCACAGCCAGAGGGGAGGAUUUUGUGUGGGAGUGUCUGGGUGUAUUGUAUGGAUUGAUUGGCUGUUUUGUAACGCCCUGUGGGCUGUACUAUGUUUGUGGAUUGGGAAUAAAAGAGACUGUAUGUGACAGUACAGGGAGUUCCUGUUUUAACCCUCAAAGUGAAGUGUCGUCUCAUUAUUGGGGGAAGGAUUCAUUGUAUGCUGUUCCAGUUUGACUGCUAGGAGAGUAAACCUAUUCGUAUGGUUCCUAUUCAACUGUCUACAGCAUUCAUAUGCUUGAGAGAAGGUAUACGCUUCUCCGGUUCGGUGAUUGUGGUGUCUGCUGCAGUGCUUGGAGUCCUCAGGAAGCGCUAGGAGCAUCCUUCAACGGAGGUACCCAGUCGGGG